GACGAACGCUGGCGGCGUGCUUAACACAUGCAAGUCGAACGGAAAGGCCCUGCUUUUGUGGGGUGCUCGAGUGGCGAACGGGUGAGUAACACGUGAGUAACCUGCCCUUGACUUUGGGAUAACUUCAGGAAACUGGGGCUAAUACCGGAUAGGAGCUCCUGCUGCAUGGUGGGGGUUGGAAAGUUUCGGCGGUUGGGGAUGGACUCGCGGCUUAUCAGCUUGUUGGUGGGGUAGUGGCUUACCAAGGCUUUGACGGGUAGCCGGCCUGAGAGGGUGACCGGCCACAUUGGGACUGAGAUACGGCCCAGACUCCUACGGGAGGCAGCAGUGGGGAAUAUUGCACAAUGGGCGGAAGCCUGAUGCAGCAACGCCGCGUGCGGGAUGACGGCCUUCGGGUUGUAAACCGCUUUCGCCUGUGACGAAGCGUGAGUGACGGUAAUGGGUAAAGAAGCACCGGCUAACUACGUGCCAGCAGCCGCGGUGAUACGUAGGGUGCGAGCGUUGUCCGGAUUUAUUGGGCGUAAAGGGCUCGUAGGUGGUUGAUCGCGUCGGAGGUGUAAUCUUGGGGCUUAACCCUGAGCGUGCUUUCGAUACGGGUUGACUUGAGGAAUGUAGGGGAGAAUGGAAUUCCUGGUGGAGCGGUGGAAUGCGCAGAUAUCAGGAGGAACACCAGUGGCGAAGGCGGUUCUCUGGGCCUUUCCUGACGCUGAGGAGCGAAAGCGUGGGGAGCGAACAGGCUUAGAUACCCUGGUAGUCCACGCUGUAAACGGUGGGUACUAGGUGUGGGGUCCAUUCCACGGGUUCCGUGCCGUAGCUAACGCUUUAAGUACCCCGCCUGGGGAGUACGGCCGCAAGGGUAAAACUCAAAGGAAUUGACGGGGCCCCGCACAAGCGGCGGAGCAUGCGGAUUAAUUCGAUGCAACGCGUAGAACCUUACCUGGGUUUGACAUGGAUCGGGAGUGCUCAGAGAUGGGUGUGCCUCUUUUGGGGUCGGUUCACAGGUGGUGCAUGGCUGUCGUCAGCUCGUGUCGUGAGAUGUUGGGUUAAGUCCCGCAACGAGCGCAACCCUUGUUCACUGUUGCCAGCACGUUAUGGUGGGGACUCAGUAGAGACCGCCGGGGUCAACUCGGAGGAAGGUGGGGAUGACGUCAAGUCAUCAUGCCCCUUAUGUCCAGGGCUUCACGCAUGCUACAAUGGCUGGUACAGAGGGUGGCGAGCCUGUGAGGGUGAGCGAAUCUCGGAAAGCCGGUCUCAGUUCGGAUUGGGGUCUGCAACUCGACCUCAUGAAGUCGGAGUCGCUAGUAAUCGCAGAUCAGCAACGCUGCGGUGAAUACGUUCCCGGG
rnacentral:rRNA from 1 species